rnacentral:rRNA from 1 species
UACGGAGGGUGCAAGCGUUGUUCGGAAUUAUUGGGCGUAAAGGGCGUGUAGGUGGCUCGACAAGUCUGGUGUGAAAGCCCACGGCUCAACCGUGGAACUGCAUUGGAAACUGCUGAGCUCGAGUAUUGGAGGGGGUCGCGGAAUUCCCGGUGUAGAGGUGAAAUUCGUAGAUAUCGGGAGGAACACCAGUGGCGAAGGCGGCGACCUGGCCAUUUACUGACACUGAGACGCGAAAGCGUGGGGAGCAAACAGG